rnacentral:misc_RNA from 1 species
GAAAUGCGAUAAGUAAUGUGAAUUGCAGAAUUCAGUGAAUCAUCGAAUCUUUGAACGCACCUUGCGCUCCUUGGUAUUCCGAGGAGCAUGCCUGUUUGAGUGUCAUUAAUAUAUCAACCUCUUCAGCUUUUGCUUGUUGAGUGUUGGAUGUGGGGGUCUUUUUGCUGGCCUUCUAAGGUCAGCUCCCCUGAAAUGCAUUAGCGGAACAAUUUGUGGACCGUUCAUUGGUGUGAUAACUAUCUACGCUAUUGACGUGAAGCAGUUCAGCUUCUAACAGUCCAUUGACUUGGACAAAUUUUCAUUAAUGUGACCUCAAAUCAGGUAGGACUACCCGCUGAACUUAA